rnacentral:rRNA from 1 species
GAUCAUGGCUCCGGAUGAACGCUAGCGAUAGGCUUAACACAUGCAAGUCGAGGGGCAGCAUGGUCUUAGCUUGCUAAGACUGAUGGCGACCGGCGCACGGGUGCGUAACGCGUAUGCAACUUGCCUCACAGAGGGGGAUAACCCGUCGAAAGACGGACUAAUACCGCGUACACUCUAUGUUGGGCAUCCAAUGUAGAGGAAAUGAACUUCGCUGUGAGAUAGGCA